rnacentral:rRNA from 1 species
AUGAAUCUACUUAGUUGGAACUGCCGGGGUGGGGGGAACCCCACAGUUCGUGAUGUUGCCAUGUUGGUGCAGUCACAUUUUCCCAUGUUUGUGUUCUUGUGCGAUACCCGACAAAAAUCAAGUAAGAUGAAGAGAAUUAGAGGAUGUCUUGGCCUUCUGGGUUUUGUGGGUGUGGAUAGCAAUGGAUUAAGUGGUGGGCCAGCUUUGUUUUGGCAUGAAUCAUUCCAAGUUACACUUCUGGGAACAUAUCACCGGUUCGUUGAUAUUUGUGUUAUCUCUCCCGACGGGGAGCAGUGGAGAUUAACUGCGGUUUAUGGUGAACCUAGGGUUGAGAACAGGCACUUGAUGUGGACUAAACUACAAUCUUUGAAGCAAGUUUCGGACCUACCUUGGGUAGUAAUCGGAGACUUCAAUGAGGCGUUGUGGAGUUUUGAACACAUGUCCUUAACACCUAGGCCAGAAGCUCAAAUGGCCACAUUUCGGGAUGUACUGAUGGCAUGUGAGUUAGUUGAUUUGGGGUUUUCUGGCAUACCUUAUACAUACGAUAAUAUGUGA